rnacentral:rRNA from 1 species
GGAAGGGGUGUAUUUAUUAGUAAAAACCAAUGGCGGCCACCGCUUUUUUCUGGUAUUCAUAAUACUUUUCGAAUUCGCAUGGCCUUGUGCUAGCGAUGUUUCAUUCAAAUUUCUGCCCUAUCAACUUUGAUGGUAGGAUAGAGGCCUACCAUGGUUUUAACGGGUAACGGGAAUUAGGGUUCUAUUCCGGAGAGGGAGCCUGAGAAACGGCUACCACAUCCAAGGAAGGCAGCAGGCGCGCAAAUUACCCAAUCCCGAUACGGGGAGGUAGUGACGAUAAAUACUGAUACAGGGCUCUUUUGGGUCUUGUAAUUGGAAUGAGUACAAUUUAAAUCCCUUAACGAGGAACAAUUGGAGGGCAAGUCUGGUGCCAGCAGCCGCGGUAAUUCCAGCUCCAAUAGCGUAUAUUAAAGUUGUUGCAGUUAAAAAGCUCGUAGUUGAACCUUGGGCCUGGUUGGCCGGUCCGCCUCACCGCGUGCACUGGUCCGACCGGGCCUUUCCUUCUGAGGAGCCGCAUGCCCUUCACUGGGUGUGUCGGGGAACCAGGACUUUUAC